UUCCUUAAGCAACCAUUAAUAAGGUAGUCAUAACCUUUGAACAAAAUAAAAUAAAAAACAAAGAAAGAAAAAAGUCUGAUAAGUCGAACACCAGAAUAUGCGACUUAGGCAAGAAUUAGGGCAUCCUGGUGGAUUGAAAGCUUCAAAGAAGCGACCCAGGAAAAAAUUAUGGAUAAAAUAAAGAUAAAAGGAGAAAUUAAAGGAGGUCACUUAAAUCCUCAUCAAAAAACAAG
rnacentral:lncRNA from 1 species